rnacentral:rRNA from 1 species
UUUGCGUUUUGGUUUAGUGGCGAAACGGGGGAGUAAACACGUGAAUAACCUACCUCCGAGCGGGGGACAACAUUUGGAAACAGAUGCUAAUACCGCAUAAGACCACAGUACCGCAUGGUACAGUGGCCAAAGCAGCAAUGCACUUGGAGAUGGAUUCGCGCCUGAUUAGCUAGAUGGUGGGGUAACGGCCUACCAUGGCAACGAUCAGUAGCCGGACUGAGAGGUUGAACGGCCACAUUGGGACUGAGACACGGCCCAGACUCCUACGGGAGGCAGCAGUGGGGAAUAUUGCACAAUGGAGGAAACUCUGAUGCAGCGACGCCGCGUGAGGGAAGAAGGUUUUCGGAUUGUAAACCUCUGUCUUCGGGGAAGAAAAAAAUGACGGUACCCGAGGAGGAAGCCACGGCUAACUACGUGCCAGCAGCCGCGGUAAAACGUAGGUGGCAAGCGUUGUCCGGAAUUACUGGGUGUAAAGGGAGCGCAGGCGGGCUGGUAAGUUGAAUGUGAAAACUAUGGGCUCAACCCAUAGAUUGCGUUCAAAACUACUGGUCUUGAGUGAUGGAGAGGCAGGCGGAAUUCCCGGUGUAGCGGUGGAAUGCGUAGAUAUCGGGAGGAACACCAGUGGCGAAGGCGGCCUGCUGGACAUCAACUGACGCUGAGGCUCGAAAGCAUGGGUAGCAAACAGGAUUAGAUACCCUGGUAGUCCAUGCCGUAAACGAUGAUUACUAGGUGUGGGGGGAUAGACCCCCUCCGUGCCGCAGCUAACGCAAU